rnacentral:rRNA from 10 species
ACUUUCAACAACGGAUCUCUUGGCUCUGGCAUCGAUGAAGAACGCAGCGAAAUGCGAUAAGUAAUGUGAAUUGCAGAAUUCAGUGAAUCAUCGAAUCUUUGAACGCACAUUGCGCCCGCCAGUAUUCUGGCGGGCAUGCCUGUUCGAGCGUCAUUACA